rnacentral:misc_RNA from 1 species
AACGCACAUUGCGCCCUCUGGUAUUCCGGAGGGCAUGCCUGUUCGAGCGUCAUUAUCACCUCUCAAGCCCGGCUUGUUGUUGGAUGCUAGCGCUAAUCCGCUCUUCCCAAAGAUAAUGACGGCGUCUGUGAGGACUCCUGUACACUGAGCUUUCGGGCACGUACUAGGCUAGAAUUUCAGACCCGGUCACCGUCCCCCCGGGGACAUGUUUUACACCAAGGUUGACCUCGGAUCAGGUAGGAAUACCCGCUGAACUUAA